UACAGAGGUCUCAAGCGUUUGUUCGGAUUCAUUGGGCGUAAAGGGUGUGUAGGUGGCGCCGUAAGUCGGGUGUGAAAUUUCGGAGCUUAACUCCGAAACUGCAUUCGAUACUGCGGUGCUUGAGGACUGGAGAGGAGACUGGAAUUCAUGGUGUAGCAGUGGAAAUGCGUAGAGAUCAGUGAAGGAAGCCAGUGGCGAAGGCGGGUCUCUGGACAGUAACUGACGUGAGGAGCGAAAGCGUGGGGAGCGAACAGG
rnacentral:rRNA from 1 species